AACGACUCUNGGCAACGGAUAUCUCGGCUCUCGCNNCGAUGAAAANCNNGCGAUACUUGGUGUGAAUUGCAGGAUCCCGCGAACCACCGAGUCUUUGAACGCAAGUUGCGCCCGGAGCCUUCUGGCCGAGGGCACGUCUGCCUGGGCGUC
rnacentral:rRNA from 1 species